rnacentral:rRNA from 1 species
UACGGGGGGGGCAAGCGUUCUUCGGAAUGACUGGGCGUAAAGGGCACGUAGGCGGUGAAUCGGGUUGAAAGUGAAAGUCGCCAAAAACUGGCGGAAUGCUCUCGAAACCAAUUCACUUGGGUGAGACAGAGGAGAGUGGAAUUUCGUGUGUAGGGGUGAAAUCCGCAAAUCUACGAAGGAAGGCCAAAAGCGAAGGCAGCUCUCUGGGUCCCUACAGACGCUGGGGUGCGAAAGCAUGGGGAGCGAACAGG